rnacentral:rRNA from 1 species
GACGAACGCUGGCGGCGUGCCUAAUACAUGCAAGUUGAGCGCUGAAGGUUGGUACUUGUACCAACUGGAUGAGCAGCGAACGGGUGAGUAACGCGUGGGGAAUCUGCCUUUGAGCGGGGGACAACAUUUGGAAACGAGUGCUAAUACCGCAUAAAAACUUUAAACACAAGUUUUAAGUUUGAAAGAUGCAAUUGCAUCACUCAAAGAUGAUCCCGCGUUGUAUUAGCUAGUUGGUGAGGUAAAGGCUCACCAAGGCGAUGAUACAUAGCCGACCUGAGAGGGUGAUCGGCCACAUUGGGACUGAGACACGGCCCAAACUCCUACGGGAGGCAGCAGUAGGGAAUCUUCGGCAAUGGACGAAAGUCUGACCGAGCAGCGCCGCGUGAGUGAAGAAGGGUUUCGGAUCGUAAAACUCUGUUGGUAGAGAAGAACGUUGGUGAGAGUGGAAAGCUCAUCAAGUGACGGUAACUACCCAGAAAGGGACGGCUAACUACGUG